rnacentral:rRNA from 1 species
GAUGAACGCUGGCGGCGUGCCUAAUACAUGCAAGUCGAGCGAACAGACGAGGAGCUUGCUCCUCUGACGUUAGCGGCGGACGGGUGAGUAACACGUGGAUAACCUACCUAUAAGACUGGGAUAACUUCGGGAAACCGGAGCUAAUACCGGAUAAUAUAUUGAACCGCAUGGUUCAAUAGUGAAAGACGGUUUUGCUGUCACUUAUAGAUGGAUCCGCGCCGCAUUAGCUAGUUGGUAAGGUAACGGCUUACCAAGGCAACGAUGCGUAGCCGACCUGAGAGGGUGGUCGGCCACACUGGAAGUGAGACACGGACCAGACUCCUACGGGAGGCAGCAGUAGGGAAUCUGCCGCAAUGGGCGAAAGCCUGACGGAGCAACGCCGAGUGAGUGAUGAAGGUCUUCGGAUCGUAAAACUCUGUUAUUAGGGAAGAACAAAUGUGUAAGUAACUAGGCACGUCUUGACGGUACCUAAUAAGAAAGCCACGGCUAACUACGUG